GCAACUGCUUAAGUCCAUAGUGAUGGUGCAAUGCCUGUGUCGUUCUCUGAAAAACAAGAGGCAAAUCGGUUUCUGCUUCCAAUUUGGCUCUUAUUGCAUUAUGGGCUGUAGUACUUCUAGUGGUGUAACUAUUGAGGAUCGAUCACCCAAGAAUCCACUCCAUGGCAAAGAAGCUUCAAAGCAGGCUGAAAAGGAUGCAACUCUUGAGACUAUUAAUAUAUCUUCAAGCGGGUCAAUAAAUGAAAUGUUUUUGUGGAAAAACAAUCCGGAACAAUUCACAUCAACUAAAGAAGGAAAAACUGAAGAAAAUUCAGACAAUGGAAUUGGACUUCCCAAGAAACCAGCAAGCUUAGUAGAAAAAGAAAGGAAAGCAUCAUCAGAUAUUCUGGAGGAGCUUCGGAUGCAAGGAAUAAUUAAGUCCUCAAGUACAACUUCAGCAAUUAGAACAGCAGAUGAUACCAUGGUAAGUCAUCUCAAAAACUAGCUGGAACUUAUUCCAAAGACCAACUUGAUAAUUUUUGCUUUUAGGUAUGGGUUUGUCAUAGAAUGGCUCCUUGUACACACAACAGGGAAGUAAAUUAAUCUAAUUCAUUUCUUGUGACUUCAGCUCCAUCCUUUCUUCCCUUGCUGUUCAUAUGUAAGAUUUCAUCCCAGAAUACCUUUGUAAUACUGCACCUGUCUUAUUUUUAAAAUCUCUCUUCAUAAGGCACAUUUCCUAUGAAGAAUGGAUAUGCAAUGGAUAUUGCUUUUGUAAUUGAUUGAUCACAAUUUAUCAUAUUGUCCACCAGUAGUUAAUCUUAAGCACAGUUUGUCAAAAGUCCCCCUCUUACUAUACCAGUUUGAAAUAAUUUCUCUUAAUUACAGAUUUACAGUCUACUAGGUUUAGAUAACAAUUUAAAAACUGAAGUCUAAAACUCCUGACCAUAUGCUUAUGGCUGUAGUAUGAAUGGAAAGUGAAGGAGAAGCAUGUGAGAAGGCUCAGCUUGUAGGAUAGACCUCCCAAAAUGAUGACUUUGUCCAGACUUCCAUCAGGCGGAAAAUGGCUAGAAAUUUCAGGCUAGAAAUUUCAGCAUAGAUAACUGGUACAGAAGUAAACCUCAGCUAAGGGUUCCCCUCCUUUAAACAUAGGGAGGAACAUAGGAUCAACCAGAUUAACCCCAAAACAUGGCCUCUUGUGGGGAGAUGGCCAGCACAAGACUAUCUCUUAAAUUUUUACAAAAACACUUGGACUAACUAAAGAAGCUGUCUUUUCUGCAAGGGUGAAAGUAACCUUACUAAGAACUUCAUCACAUUGAGGUUCUAUCCCGUGGGGCAAUGGGUGGUUUCACCACGCAGCAUAGUGAAUCCGUGGGGCAGUGGGUGAAAGGGUUUCCCCGCGCCCCAUAUCACCCGCUGCAUCCCUAACCCCAUCCCAUGGGGGAAAGUGUCGCCACAUGGUUUUCCCCUGUUGUUGUCUACAGAAGAUGAGAAGCCUCCCUGUUCUGUGGAAAGUAUCCUACUACACCAGUGGUUCUCAACCUGAGGUCCCCAGAUGUUUUUGGCCUUCAACUCCCAGAAAUCCUAAGAGCUGGUAAACUGGCUGGGAUUUCUGGGAAUCGUAGGCCAAAAACAUUUGGGGACCCCAGAUUGAAGACCACUGUACUACACUGUCAGGAUGCUUCCACCACAGAGCCCUACCAGAAGUUGCCUGAUGUCAUGUGAUGACGUCCGGCGGGCUCCGAAGUGGAAGUGUCCUGGCAGCAUGCUAGGACGUUGGAUUUUCCACAUGUGAUAAGGUGGUAAGUUUUCUGAGUGUAUUAAGAAGACUGAGUAUAGAGGAGAGGGGGAAGAGGUGUGAACUUGCGAUAAAUUUAAAACGUCAAGAACUUUAAGAACCUUUCCUUGAAGAUUAAAGGAAAUUUUGAACAAUUUAAUGUUAAUUGAGAGAAAAAUGAAACUUGUCUUACCAUGACAGGUUGAUUUGCAAUGCAAGCAAUUACAUAACAACACUGGCAGACAGAAACAAACGUCUGGGAAAGUGUUUACAGAAUAGAUUUAAGGUUAGGAUAUGCUGUCAGAUAGUGGUGAUAUAAAAUGGUACUUAAAGUUAUUUUUCUGGGCAAUACUGCCAUGCAGUGGACAGUUGUUUAAAUUAUGAGUUGCUGCGAGUUUUCCAGGCUGUAUGACCAUGUCCCAGAAGCAUUCCCUCUUGAUGUUUCACCCCCAUCUAUGGCAGGCAUCCUCAGAGGGUUGUGAGAUCUGUUGGAAACUAGGCAAGUGAGGUUGAUAUAUCUGUGGAAUGUCUAGGAUGGGAGAAAGAACUCUUGUCUGUUUGAGACAAGUGUGAAUGUUGCAAUUGGUCCAGAAGACAGGAGAAUUCCAAACAGGAAACAAUCAGGACCAGCUAAUACCUCCCAACGAAAGAUUCCCCCAGGCAAUAAGUAGCUAGACCUUGAAGCUGCAAGGCUAUUCAAUUCUAAUCAAGGUGGCCAAUUGCAAUGUUCACAUCUGCCUCAGACAAGAGUUCUUUCUCCUACCCUGGACCUUCCACAGAUAUAUAAAUCCCACUUGCUAGUUUCCAACAGACCCUCACAACCUCUGAGGAUGCCUGCCAUACAGCCCGGAAAACUCACAGCAACCCAGUGAUUCCGGCCAUGAAAGCCUUUGACAACACAUUGUUAAAAUUAUUUCUUUGGGAAAUGCUGCCACAUUUCAAAAGUUCAUUUUUUAAAAUGUCAACAAGAAUUACUAGGGCCACAGAGACUAAAGGAGCCACUGAAGUAAGGAUAUUAUCAGUGGAUA
ensembl:lncRNA